UACGUAGGGCGCGAGCGUUGUCCGGAAUUAUUGGGCGUAAAGAGCUUGAAGGCGGUUUGUCGCGUCUGCUGUGAAAGGCCGGGGCUUAACCCCGUGUAUUGCAGUGGGUACGGGCAGACUAGAGUGCAGUAGGGGAGACUGGAACUCCUGGUGUAGCGGUGGAAUGCGCAGAUAUCAGGAAGAACACCGAUGGCGAAGGCAGGUCUCUGGGCUGUAACUGACGCUGAGAAGCGAAAGCAUGGGGAGCGAACAGG
rnacentral:rRNA from 1 species